rnacentral:piRNA from 1 species
UAAAGACAUUUGUACAUUCCUGA